UCCUGUUGCUGCUGGGAUUGUGCGAGGAGCUAGCACGUCUGGCAGGCCACUGUCGCAGGCGUACGCUGACUUCCCGGGAUUCAUUCUGCACUCUUCAUCUGUGGAGGCUCCCUUUGGUCUACAGAUGCAGGUGAAGGGGUGCCUGAAUACAUACAGGCCUACCUGAGCUAGCUUUAAUUGAGAUGGCCUAAGGUACCCAGCACCGGGAAGACCGUGCUUUGGUAUGAACCACCCAGCCUGCCGGGGACCCUGGCAUUGAAAUCCAUGAGUUGUUCACUGGCAUCCUCGCUAAUAGUGCUACUUGAGCUUGCUACGUUGAAGCUGACCUGGGUAUAUCUACAUGCAUUGAUGGUGAUACCGCAGUCACAACUGCAACAUGGACAGCAGGAGACUACUCCUAAGGAUAAAUUAAGAAAGAACAGAGAUGCAUCUUUCCUCUCAGAAAUGUUUCUGAGUUCCUUGACACUGAACUAGUCUUCAAAUUACUAAAAGCAGUGCUUCUUUUGCUACAUGCAGUAAGAUCAGUAAAAUGAAAAGGAAAAAGAUGAUGACUGUUCUUGGGAACGUGUUUACCAAAUGGCUGGAGAGUAGUUAUCAUGGCAUCCAGACAUAGAAUAUCUGUUUGCCAGAGUUAUGCUGAUACAAAUGGCCGGCCUGUCUGAGGACUUGGUGAAAUUUUGCCAUCAAAAGCAACCAAAAAAUUGAGUCAUUAAA